AUAGUGAGCUUCGAUUCACUUAUGCAGCUAAGGGAGAAAGCAUGCGUUAAGUGCCUGAUGGUUAUGGGGAAGCGUAUCAAGAGUAUCGAACCUCUUCUUCAUGAGAAGGCGGUUGAUAUUUCCAUUGAGUUACUAAGGAAAUCUGUUAAAAUUGGCGAGGGUGUACCAUUAUCGAGAAGUAUGCUAUAUUUGCUCGAUUUUUGAAGGUAUUCGGUCACUUUGCGGCUCAUCGAAAAUUUGUAACGUUAUUCAUUGACCGCGGUGGCAGGCAGACACUUAUUGACGUUCCGAGGAAUAAGCGAACGUUUUUCAGUCUCUCUUUGCUCUUAUUCACAAUUAGUACGUUCAAAGGUAAUCAUUUUCUUUUAAUUAUAUCGCCGAUGAAACGCAAGUUGAAGGAGGCUUUGAAGUGCAUGUGUUUCUUUUAAUUAGUUCCUUAUGGAUUAUUUACGGACAAAUCUAAAAUUUUCACACUCAAGCAUUUUUGUGUGCAUGUGUUUUUGUGUGCGCGGUUUGUGUGUUUAUUUCGUGGACAGACUGCCAUGUAUGUGCAUAUUUUGAGUAUGAAAUGUGUAAUUUAUCUAUAAAAUAUUAUUAAUGAGUAUAUAUAAUUAUUUAUCAAUACAAUACCAAUGAAGUUUGAUGUUCUAUUUGACACCGUACGGUGUUCUUUGCAGCGGACAAUGGGACACGUGUGCCCGAAACCAAUGAAGAUAUUGGCGAAGUUUACAUAGUGAGCUUCGAUUCACUUACGCAGCUAAGGGAGAAAUCCUGUGUCAAGUGUCUGGUGGUUAUGUCGAUAAUUUCUUAGUCUGGGCGAUGGACGAGCCACAAAGAAAUUCCGGUGCUCAUCUCAAAUUGGAGAAUAUUGAAACGAUACGGAAAAUAUUAGAUGUCGAAAUAUUGCACACAUACUCCGUUGGACUUCUUUCAGUAUGCUUGACUUUGUAUGUUCUUAAACCCUUUUAUUUUAUUUAUUAAUUAGUUUUUUUUUUUUGUGUAUAUAAAUUAUAUUUUUCACUAUUUGUAUAGUCUUGUUAUGUGGGUUUUUUCCUAACAUUUUAAUAUCGAACUUUUUAGUGGUUGCCUACGAAUGAAAGAUGCCUUAACGACGUACGGAUUGCCGGUUAUGCUAAUGCGAUAUUUACGAAGUGGGGUUUUGGGCGAACUAAAAAAGACUGCAUUUGAUGCUGCUCUCAUAUGGUACAUACAUGAUCAUUUAAUUUAUUAAUUAACUUGAUAUAUCUAGAUACUUAUUCGACUAUUUUUUUCGCGUUUUGUAGGAAGUUAACUAUGCCGAAAACCGAUAUCGGCGAAGUUUACGUAGCGAGCUUCGAUUCACUUACACAGCUAAGGGAGAAAGCCUGUGUUAAGUGUCUGAUGGUUAUGCGGAAGCGUAUCGAGAGUAUCGAACCUCUUCUUCAUGAGAAGGCGGUUGAUAUUUCCAUUGAGUUACUAAGGAAAUCUGUUAAAAUUGGCGAGGGUGUACCGUUAUCGAGAAGUAUGCUAUACUUGCUCGAUGUUUUGAAGAUAGUCGGUCACUUUGCGGCUCAUCGAAAAUUUGUAACGUUAUUCGUUGACCGUGGUGGCAUGCAGAGAGUUGUUGACGUUCCGAGAAAUAAGCAAACCUUUUUCAGUCUCUCUUUGCUCUUAUUCACAAUUAGUAAGUUUAAGGUAAUCAUUUUCUUUUAAUUUAUAUCGCCGUUGAAACGCAAGUUGAAGGAGGCUGUGAAGUGCAUGUGUUUCUUUUAAUUAGUUCGUUAUUGAUUGUUUUUGGACAAAUUUAAAAUUUUCACACUCAAGCAUUUAUGUGUGCAUGUGUUUUUUGUGUGCGCAGUGUGUUUGCAUGUGUUUUUGUGUGCGCAAUUUGUGUGUUUAUUUCGUGCACAGAUUGCCAUGUAUGUGCAUAUUUUGGGUAUGAAAUGUGUAAUUUAUCUAUAAAAAAAUACUAUUAAUAAGUAAACAUAACUAGUUAGUAAUAUAAUACCAAGGAAGUUUGCCGUUCUAUUUGUUGAUCGUGGUGAGCUUCGACUCACUUACGCAGCUAAGGGAGAAAGCCUGUGUUAAGUGUCUGAUGGUUAUGGGGAAGCGUAUCGAGAGUAUCGAACCUCUUGUUCAUGAGAAGGCGGUUGAUAUUACUAUUGUAUUAUUAAAUAAAUGUAGUAAAAAUAUCGAGGGUGUACCGUUUUCGAGAAGUAUGCUAUAUUUGUUCGAUAUUUUGAAGGUACUUGGUCAAUUUGCGGCUCAUCGAAAAUUUGUGACAUUAUUCGUGCACUGUGGUGGCAUGCAAACGCUCGUUGACGUUCCGAGGAAUAAGGGAACGUUUUUCAGUAUCUCUUUGCUCUUAUUCGC
rnacentral:lncRNA from 1 species